GUGAACGCUGGCGGCGUGCCUAAUACAUGCAAGUCGAGCGAACAGAUGAGGAGCUUGCUCCUCUGACGUUAGCGGCGGACGGGUGAGUAACACGUGGAUAACCUACCUAUAAGACUGGGAUAACUUCGGGAAACCGGAGCUAAUACCGGAUAAUAUAUUGAACCGCAUGGUUCAAUAGUGAAAGACGGUUUUGCUGUCACUUAUAGAUGGAUCCGCGCCGCAUUAGCUAGUUGGUAAGGUAACGGCUUACCAAGGCAACGAUGCGUAGCCGACCUGAGAGGGUGAUCGGCCACACUGGAACUGAGACACGGUCCAGACUCCUACGGGAGGCAGCAGUAGGGAAUCUUCCGCAAUGGGCGAAAGCCUGACGGAGCAACGCCGCGUGAGUGAUGAAGGUCUUCGGAUCGUAAAACUCUGUUAUUAGGGAAGAACAAAUGUGUAAGUAACUAUGCACGUCUUGACGGUACCUAAUCAGAAAGCCACGGCUAACUACGU
rnacentral:rRNA from 1 species